AAAAGAAGAAGAAGAAGAAGAAGCACAACAACAGGACACAGAGACACUGAGGAGCCAGGAGACCAGAUCCUAAAUCCAGGACAGAGAGUCUGAGUGAAUGAGGUGUUGAAGGUGUGGAGGUGGAUCAGUGAGUCAGAGGAGACUGUGUAGAAGGACAGAGAG